UCGAGAAUCAUUCACAAUGGGGGAAACCCUGAUGGUGCGACGCCGCGUGGGGGAAUGAAGGCCUUCGGAUUGUAAACCCCUGUCAUGUGGGAGCAAAUUAAAAAGAUAGUACCACAAGAGGAAGAGACGGCUAACUCUGUGCCAGCAGCCGCGGUAAUACAGAGGUCUCAAGCGUUGUUCGGAAUCACUGGGCGUAAAGCGUGCGUAGGCGGUUUCGUAAGUCGUGUGUGAAAGGCGGGGGCUCAACCCCCGGACUGCACAUGAUACUGCGAGACUAGAGUAAUGGAGGGGGAACCGGAAUUCUCGGUGUAGCAGUGAAAUGCGUAGAUAUCGAGAGGAACACUCGUGGCGAAGGCGGGUUCCUGGACAUUAACUGACGCUGAGGCACGAAGGCCAGGGGAGCGAAAGGG
rnacentral:rRNA from 1 species